rnacentral:lncRNA from 1 species
AUGGCGGCGGCCGGAGGGCCGGAGCCGCCCGCGGGGGUCUCGGUCGCGGAACCCGCGGCCCCGCCGGCCUGCCACUUCUUCCUGGAGGGCCGCUGCCGCUUCGGCGCCCGCUGCCGCCAGCCCCACCCCGGGGCGCCGGCGCCGCCGCAGCCUAGAGGCGAGGCCGAAGACCAGGCCAAAGCCAAGAAGCCGCCGCUGCGUACGGCUGACGCCGUCAUCCAGCGUAUCCGCUGGGACCCGCGCCUCGACCCGGCCGACUUCUCUGUGGGCUAUGCCGACCGCUUCUUGGGCGUGCGCGAGGAGCCCUUCCUUUCCUUCUGCUGGGACGAGCCGCUAGCGGCGCUUGCGCCGGGCGUUUUGGCCGUGCCGCAGCACCGGGUGCGCUACUUCCGCUUCCGCGGCCGCCUGGUAUGGGACCGCGCCUCGCGCACCGACCUCGUCUUUGGCUCCGGCUUGGCGGCCGGCCGUGGGCCCACCAUCCUGGACGCGCUCGACGGCGAGGACGCGCACCGGCCCGGGGACGUGCACGACGGUGGAGACCGGAGCGGGGACGCGCACGGGAACGGCGAUACGAGUGACGGCGAGGAUGCCAGCUCAGUCGGAGAUGCGCUCGGCGGUCAGGAUACGGACGGGACCGGAGGCGCACUGGACAGCGUAGCUGCCACCCGCCUUGGCGCGGAUGCGGGGGACCCCGCACAGCCAGCCCAGACCCGACUCCUGGCAGCCUUGGCCUCGGACGGGGGAAGCCCCGAAGCUGGGUGCCUGACGCUGGCAGGCGCAUUAGCGAGGACCCAGGAGUGGGAGUCGGCCGACCCUGGAGGCCAAGCUUCCCCGUGGAUGGCGCCAGGAAAGGCGCUGCAGCCAGCUGCCCCCACCGCCGCCAGGGCCAUGAAGACCGGUGGCAGGAAGCCCUCGGACAGCCUCUGUGAGACGGGAAUGGAGUGGGGUCCCGGGAUCUGGCCUGUGGACCCAGGAGCGGCCAGGGCCGUGGGCUCUCGCCAGCCCCGCCCCACGCACUUCGUGGCGCUCAUGGUGACGGAGCCUGAGCUGCGGGCCAAGGUGGCCAAGGUCCAGGAAGACUUGGUACGAGAUGCACCAGCUUGCGCGGCCUUCACGGUGCCGGCUGAAGCCCUCCACCUGACCCUAGCCCUGCUGAGGCUGGCGGGCCCCGGGGAGGCGGCGGCGGCUGUCACCGCGCUCAGACACGCGCUCUCGGACCCCGGGCUUGAGGUCCCUCUGAGGCUGAGGUUCGGUCGCCUGGUACGCCUGGGCUCCCACGUGCUCUGUGCUCCCCCGUCCCCACCCUUGGAGAGCCUGGCCCAGAGGCUGAGCCAGAGGCUGGAGGCCGAGGGGCUGAGAGUGCUGCAGCCUCUCGGGGGGAUACGCCCCCACCUCACCCUGGCCAAGGUGCCCCAGGGCGCCCAAGUCUGCCUCCCCGAGGUCAGCCCGUGGCAGGAGCUGGGGAGCCAGCCCCUGGGGACACUCUGGCUGUGCCGCGUGGGCAGGGCCGGGGCCACCUACCAGGCGGUGGCCGAGCUCCCCCUGGGAGGUCAACCUCUAAAAUAA